rnacentral:tRNA from 1 species
GGUGGCUCAGUGGCAGAGCGCUUGCCUUGCAUGCAUGAGACCCUGGGUUCAAUUCCUCAGCACCA